UACGUAGGGUGCAAGCGUUGUCCGGAAUUAUUGGGCGUAAAGAGCUCGUAGGUGGUUUGUCGCGUUGUUCGUGAAAACUCACAGCUCAACUGUAGGCGUGCGAGCGAUACGGGCAGACUAGAGUACUGCAGGGGAGACUGGAAUUCCUGGUGUAGCGGUGGAAUGCGCAGAUAUCAGGAGGAACACCGGUGGCGAAGGCGGGUCUCUGGGCAGUAACUGACGCUGAGGAGCGAAAGCGUGGGGAGCGAACAGG
rnacentral:rRNA from 1 species